AAGGACACUGAAGGAACGUUCGAGGACGAGGACGUGGAUAGGCCGGGUGUGUAAGCGUAGCGAUACGUUGAGCUGACCGGUACUAAUGAACCGUGCGGCUUAACCUGACAACACCGAAGGUGUUU
rnacentral:rRNA from 1 species